rfam:Stegodyphus mimosarum contig67630, whole genome shotgun sequence.
GCCUUCGUGGUGUAGCGGUCAGCACGUUUGACGCGUAACCGAGAGGUCCAUGGUUCGAUUCCUGGCGAAGGCG